rnacentral:rRNA from 1 species
ACCAGACUCCUACGGGAGGCAGCAGUGGGGGAUAUUGCACAAUGGGGGGAACCCUGAUGCAGCGACGCCGCGUGGGUGAAGAAGCGCCUCGGCGCGUAAAGCCCUGUCAGCAGGGAAGAAAAUGACGGUACCUGAAGAAGAAGCCCCGGCUAACUACGUGCCAGCAGCCGCGGUAAUACGUAGGGGGCAAGCGUUAUCCGGAUUUACUGGGUGUAAAGGGGGCGCAGACGGCGAUGCAAGCCAGGAGUGAAAGCCCGGGGCCCAACCCCGGGACUGCUCUUGGAACUGCGUGGCUGGAGUGCAGGAGGGGCAGGCGGAAUUCCUGGUGUAGCGGUGAAAUGCGUAGAUAUCAGGAGGAACACCGGUGGCGAAGGCGGCCUGCUGGACUGCAACUGACGUUGAGGCCCGAAAGCGUGGGGAGCAAACAGGAUUAGAUACCCGGGUAA